AUUGAACGCUGGCGGCAUGCCUUACACAUGCAAGUCGAACGGCAGCACGGGAGCAAUCCUGGUGGCGAGUGGCGAACGGGUGAGUAAUAUAUCGGAACGUGCCCAGUCGUGGGGAUAACGUAGCGAAAGCUACGCUAAUACCGCAUACGAUCUAUGGAUGAAAGCGGGGGAUCGCAAGACCUCGCGCGAUUGGAGCGGCCGAUAUCAGAUUAGGUAGUUGGUGAGGUAAAGGCUCACCAAGCCGACGAUCUGUAGCUGGUCUGAGAGGACGACCAGCCACACUGGGACUGAGACACGGCCCAGACUCCUACGGGAGGCAGCAGUGGGGAAUUUUUGGGACAAUGGGCGCAAGCCUGAUCCAGCAAUGCCGCGUGCAGGAUGAAGGCCUUCGGUUGUGACUGCUUUGUUACGGUACGAACGGUAGAG
rnacentral:rRNA from 1 species